rnacentral:misc_RNA from 1 species
CUCUCGCAGCCCGACCUGAGUGGAGCUCUUUUUGUGCAGCAAAGCGGAACAAAAAAGCGGGAACGGAGGGCGGAAAAGCUG